rnacentral:rRNA from 1 species
GACGAACGCUGGCGGCGUGCUUAACACAUGCAAGUCGAGCGGUAAGGCCCUUUCGGGGGUACGACGAGCGGCGAACGGGUGAGUAACACGUGGGUGACCUGCCCUCAGCUCUGGGAUAAGCCUGGGAAACCGGGUCUAAUACUGGAUAUGACUCCAUGACGCAUGUUGUGGGGUGGAAAGCCUUGUGCGGCUAAGGAUGGGCCCGCGGCCUAUCAGCUUGUUGGUGGGGUGANGGCCUACCAAGGCGACGACGGGUAGCCGGCCUGAGAGGGCGACCGGCCACACUGGGACUGAGACACGGCCCAGACUCCUACGGGAGGCAGCAGUGGGGAAUCUUGCGCAAUGGGCGAAAGCCUGACGCAGCGACGCCGCGUGAGGGAUGACGGCCU